rnacentral:rRNA from 1 species
AAUGAACGCUGGCGGCAUGCCUAACACAUGCAAGUCGAACGACAGCACAGUAAGAUUUUGCGCCUGCGGUUGGCGAUUGUCGGAAGCGUAACUAAUAGAUCGCAUACCUCUCCUACAGGGGUGAUAACGUCGGAUAACUUCUGCUAACACCUCAUAUGUCGACCGGGUGUGUGCACGCGUUCGACUGACUUUUCGUGAUUGUAAUAGCCGACGUCGGACUAGCUAGUUGGCUGGGUAAAGGCCCACCAAGGCGACGAUGCGUAGCUGGUCUGAGAGGAUGAUCAGCCACACUGGAACUGAGACACGGUCCAGACUCCUACGGGAGGCAGCAGUGGGGAAUAUUGGGCAAUGGGCGGAAGCCUGAUCCAGCAAUACCGCGUGGGUGAAGAAGGCCUUCGGGUUGUAAAGCUCUUUUGUUGGGAAAGAAAAGCAGCAGGUUAAUACCCCGCUGUUCUGACGGUACCCAAAGAAUAAGCACCGGCUAACUUCGUG